AUAUUAUAUCACUUUUCCAAAGUGGGGAUCUAUUUGUUUAGAUAAUAUA
rnacentral:tRNA from 1 species